UUACCCCCAUGUUGUUCCAAACCCGUAAAAGCCAAGUAAAUAACAGUGUCAAGGUCCAUAAAAGGUAUGAAAGUCGUCGUCAGAAUAGAGAUGGAGUAUUCUGAAGAUGACUUUCAUAUCUUUUAUGGACCUUGACACUGUUAUUUACUUGGCAGUCUAUGGGACAGUCACAGGCCUCAUUAAUAAUAAAUGUAACUACAGGCCUCAUUGUCUACUCUAAUAAGUUACUCUAAUAAACAUGUAAAAAGGUGUAAGAUGGCUUCAUUCAAGCAUUAUACUUACUCUAUGCAGAAGUUAACAUAAGCAAGUGAGAGGCAUUCUGGGGGUUUCUGGCCAGCACGGAGCAGGCGGAGGUGGUAGGAGCAGCGGUGUAGGUGGUGGAGAAGAGCCGGGUGAGCAGAGAGCCCAGCUAACAGCUUUACCACCUGAUGCCCAUCUAAGAGCUCUACGGGAGAGAAAGAAUGAAAGGAGGACAAAAAGGACUGAAUGGAUGCAAGAGGAGAAGGUUAGCAACAGAGAAGCAUAACAAAUGUCUGAGGAAAGGAAUUCUGGGAAGACAGAGGAAAAGUUCUAUAAAUCUCUCAUUUGUAAUUUUUUUAAGAAUAAAUAAAGUUACACUGUAAUUUAAAAAAAAAAGUACAGGUACAUGCACAGGAAUUCUGGGAAAGUAGAGGGGAAGAAAUAAGUAAGGAGUGGUGUUAGAUUUUAAAAUUACUAGUAAUUUCUCAUUUGUAAUAAAUACAUACUUUUAUAUUACUACAAUUAAAAAAUAAACUGUUUUUGUUUGUUAAUUGUUUAGUUAACUAUUGAGAAUAGGGAGUCAGAUUCACAAGCAGAAAAAGUCAAAUCCACUGAGUAUCAGAAGGAAAAUACUGAGUAACAGGAGGAAGAGGAGGGAGAGAAGGAGGACAGGAGGGAGAGGGAUGAGGUAAGCAAAGAUGUGGCAGAGAUAGAGGAGGGAUAGUGUGGGCCGUAGGGAAGCAAAGGAUUUGGGAGGGAACUAAACAUUGCAGGUUGAGGGGGAACAAAGGGAUGACAGAUGGAGGAGGAGGAGGAGGAGGAAGGAGAGGCCACUGCAGCACACAGCAAUGAGGAUCCACUGCCUCAACCCCUGCUGAGAUGUUUUUGCCACAGUGACUCAGCAACAUACAAUUAAUGAGCUGAAAUUAAUGUAAUUCGUUUUUGUCAGGACCUACAACUAUUUUCAGAGGCAACCAAAGUGCAAUUAGAGUCAAUGUAAUAAGCAAACUCUCCGAACAGAGCCUAAAGAUUAAACAGAGCUAUUUGCAUUUCCAACAAACGUUUAAUUUAUGCUAUUUGUAUUUGAAUGAAACAUUUGGAUAGAUUAGGUUUCACAGUGCAUGCAAACACUCCUGAAGUCUCAUAACAUAGUGAGUAUAUAGAGUCUAGUGAGAAUCAGUGGCGUACGAGACACCCCUGCAGGGGACCCAUCGCAGGACAUUCUAAAAGGCAUUCACAAAAACACAAGGGGAACAGGAAUAAAAAAAACUUAAGGUCUCUUUUUUUAACUUUUAAACUUCUUUUGACUAGAGCGCCAUGUUUCUGGAAUGUCGUGUAUUGCUCGAGACACUGCAAAAUACGUGAGGCACGCGUACAUUUUCAUACAUGACAUCACUGCUGAUGGGAGGGGCCCCAUCUCGUUCUUUGCAGGGGGCCUCACAGAUGUGCAGUACACCACUGGUGAGAAUAUACUGUAGGUUAAUUUAUUUUAGACUGAAAAAGCAGCCCAAAUAAAUGUCAAUAAUAAAAAUUAUUUAAAUAAAUAAUAAUUUGUAAUUAAAAAUAAUGCCUGUUUUUAGCUUGAAAAAGCA
ensembl:lncRNA